AUGAAGCCGAGCGCCGCCGUCCUGGCCGCCAUCGUGGCGCUGCUCUUGGUCUCCGCCGUGCGGGGCGAUGACGCCUGCAGGUCGCCGGAGUCGGCGGCUCAGGACCGCGCGCGGGCAAACCCUCUCAAAAUCGCGGCCUUCUUCUCCAUCCUGGUUUGCGGGGCGAUGGGCUGCUCCCUGCCCGUGCUGGGGCGGCGCGUGCCCGCGCUCCGGCCCGAAGGCGACGUCUUCUUCCUGGUCAAGGCUUUCGCGGCGGGGGUCAUCCUCGCAACGGGGUUCAUCCACAUCCUCCCUGAUGCGUUCGACAACCUCACGUCGGACUGCCUGCCUUCUGACGGGCCGUGGAAGGACUUCCAGUUCCCGUUCGCCGGGUUAGGAGCCAUGGUUGGCGCCAUCGGCACGCUCGUCGUCGACACCGUCGCCACGGGGUACUUCACGCGCGCCCACUUGAACAAGGACGGAGCCAACGCGGCGAUAAGUAGCAACGCCGCCGGCGUGGACGAGGAGAAACAGGCUGCUGCCGAGGAAGCGCGCCAUCACGACGGCGAGGAGCACGACGUACACGUGCACACGCACGCGACGCACGGACACGCCCACGGGUCGGCGGCGCUCGUGGCAGCCGUUGGCGGGGCAGAUGACGAAAAGGACACGAUCCGGCAUCGCGUAAUCUCUCAGGUACUUGAGUUGGGUAUUGUGGUGCACUCGGUGAUCAUCGGCAUCUCCCUCGGCGCGUCUCAGAACCCUGAAACAAUCAAACCUCUUGUGGCCGCCUUGAGCUUCCACCAGAUGUUCGAGGGAAUGGGCCUUGGUGGCUGCAUAGUCCAGGCAAAGUUCAAGGCUAGGUCCAUCGUGAUCAUGAUCCUCUUCUUCUGCUUGACAACGCCGGUGGGAAUCCUCAUUGGCUUUGGCAUAUCACGGGUGUACAACAAGAACAGCCCGACGGCGCUGGUGGUGGAGGGCAGCCUCAACUCCGUGGCAGCGGGGAUCCUCAUCUACAUGGCCCUCGUCGACCUCCUCGCCGCGGACUUCAUGAACCCCAAGGUGCAGAGCAGGGGGAAGCUGCAGCUUGGCAUCAACGUCUCCAUGCUGGUUGGUGCAGGCCUCAUGUCCAUGCUCGCCAAAUGGGCCUAG
rnacentral:rRNA from 1 species